UACGAAGGGGGCUAGCGUUGUUCGGAUUUACUGGGCGUAAAGGGCGCGUAGGCGGCCUGAUAAGUCGAGGGUGAAAGCCUGUGGCUCAACCACAGAAUUGCCUUCGAUACUGUCGGGCUUGAGACCGGAAGAGGUAAGUGGAACUGCGAGUGUAGGGGUGAAAUUCGUAGAUAUUCGCAAGAACACCAGUGGCGAAGGCGGCUUACUGGUCCGGUUCUGACGCUGAGGCGCGAAAGCGUGGGGAGCAAACAGG
rnacentral:misc_RNA from 1 species